rnacentral:rRNA from 1 species
UACGUAGGGCGCAAGCGUUGUCCGGAAUUAUUGGGCGUAAAGAGCUCGUAGGUGGCUUGUCGCGUCUGCCGUGAAAGCCCGUGGCUUAACUACGGGUCUGCGGUGGAUACGGGCAGGCUAGAGGCUGGUAGGGGCAAGCGGAAUUCCUGGUGUAGCGGUGAAAUGCGCAGAUAUCCGGAGGAACACCGGUGGCGAAGGCGGCUUGCUGGGCCAGUUCUGACGCUGAGGAGCGAAAGCGUGGGGAGCGAACAGG